CAAGGAAAACAUAGCUGUAAAAUAGAGUCUAUUCUGCUUUCUAGCCUUGACAAAUGUACUUCCAUAGCAACUUGGGAGGUCAGGUUCAAAUGUAGAAUUCUUGGAUUCUUGUAUAAAGACACAGGUCAUGCCCCACAACUGGUUCAUUCUCUGGGGCACUGAUCUGAGUAUAUAUCCUAGCAGUGGGUUGGAGCCAUUCAGAAUUCCCAGGACUGGGAGCUGGAGCAUUGUCUGGAAAGUUUAGGGCAGGAUUACUGGCUACCAGUAGACAUGAAUCCUCUUUCCUUGGAGAGUGCAGGAGGUGCCAGAGGAUGGCUGGCCCCCAGAAGCCUAGGUGGGUAAGGAGGUGUGCAGGCAGUACCCAACCCAGAUAUAGGACAGGACACCUGUUGAAAAUCAGGGUGUCUGUAAACCUGUAGAAUAUAUAUAUAUAUAUAUAUAUAUAUAUAUAUAUAUCUUUGUGUUUAACAUGCAGAUUUGUCUUUUGCUGAAAUAAUAUAGCAUAGGACUAAAUCUUGUUAAAUAUCUAGCAUUCACAUGCCCUUGUGUUUCCAUUCAUUUUGGACUUUCGUCUGGUUCCACUGAUGUUCCGGCUCUGUGGUCAUGAACAGGUUUCUUGCAAAAACCAUGAGGAUGAACUUUGCCUGAGGCUGUGUCCCCCCAAAAUCUUUCAUCCCUCUUUAGAUGUUGGUCAGAAGAGGCCAACAGUUAAGACUGUUUUGAGUCAAUUAGGAAAAAUAGAACUGGACUGGGUAUUGCUAACUUUGUUGGGUGUGAUACUGGUAUUAUUGAGGAUGUUUGAAAAAAAAAAAAAACCAACCUUAAUGAUUGGAGAAACAUGCUCAAGAAUUUAAAGGUGAAAUAUGUCUGCCAGAAUGCUUUAAAACUACUCCAGGAAAAAAAAAAAAAAAGUGUGUGUGUAGGAGGAGGGAUAUAGAUGGGGGAAAAAAAGGGCAAGAUGCAGACCAUGAUGGAAGCUGGCCUAUUGGUUUGUGGGACCAUUUUAUUAUUCUACUUUCGGCGUGAGUGAACAUUUCUCAUAAUAAAGAAGUUAAAACACAAGAACAAAACGCUGUCCUGGAGAGCUGAUGGAGCUCUGGCUGCAGGCGAAGCAGCUGUUCCUUAAGAAUGGCCAGUCUUCACACACCCUUUACAGACGGGAUCCUCAAGCCCCCUUUCCUCCUGGGUGGUUUUACAGCCCUAGACUCGGUUUCCUUCUUUGUAAACCAGGCCUCAGCACACGACUUCCCCCUAAGGGCUGUUUCGAGCAUUAACUGCAGCAAAGGAGGAGAGGAGCUUGGCACGCUCAGGAAACAAUCGGGUUUACAGCCCAGAAAGACUUCUGGCUCAACGUGUCCCCACCACAAAGGCCAAGCUCCAGGGUCCCGGGGGCAGAGUCUGCGUGGCCCUGACUUCUGGCGCGCUCUGGGUCGAGCAGCGAGACCUUGGAGCUGGGGACACCCCCUCCCCACCUCCCCUCGGGCCCUGGGCGACAGGGCCCCGCCUCCAGGUAGCCCCGCCCAGUCCCCGCCCCGUCACUCUUUCGCCUGGUCCUGAAACCGCCUGGCAAGUUGGCCUGAAGAUCUGGCUCUCUGUUUCCUCAUCGAGCCCUCCUCUUGGCCCGCUCGCCUUCUGCUCGCCUCCUGCACGCUGCUGCCCGGGAGGGGAUCGGGGUAAUCGCCAAGACCAGGGUUUCCUUCUGCCUUGGGUUUAAUUGGAGGUGAGUGCAUCCAGUGGGUUCAAAAGUCAUCCGGGCCCCAAGUGUGGAGAGCAGAUCCUGGCCCAGGAGAGGACUUGAGCAGUCAGCUGUGACUUCUCUGUUCAUGAAAACCUUAUUGGCGACCUCUAUCAACUGAGUGAUAUUCAUCCCAGCAAAGCCUUCCAACUUCUGGAGUUUUCUUCUGAUAUCUGGGGAAGCCUGUGCCCCAAAGGAGGUUAAGGCUGCCAGGGGUUCAGCUCUGCUCACAUGGAUGGGACAGAGAUCUGACAGCAGAGGCCAGAGGACCUGGCUCUGCCACACACCUUCAGCCCUGGAAGACUGGAGCCUCAGAUGAUGGACCUAUGAGUGUGUCUGAGAGCCACAGUGUGGUCCCUGAACCACUGGGGUCUGAGUUCAGCAGGGAGACUGCCUUGUCCCUUGGCCUUCAGGUGAUGGUGCCCUUCAUGUUUGCAGGACCGGGACUGUCCGGGGCUGGUGUGCUUUUGAACUAUUUCCAGAACUUGGACUCAACUUCCUAUCCCGUUGCUUUUCUCACCUGGUCACAGUCACCCACCAAGACCGAGGGGCUGCCCUGUCCACAACCAAAUUCCAAGGAUUGGAGGUCCUCAAGAAUACUGCCCAGGGGUGAACCAACUGCUCUUCAGAGUGAAAGCAUCUUUAACAGCCAUAAAAGGAGACAGGUCCUGAAGAAUACUGCAAAUGGGUGAACUGUCUGUGCUUCAGAUGAAGGCAUCUGUAGCAGCCAAUGGUUGGAGUUCUGCUGUCUAACUAUUACCAUGACAACUCCAGGCUUUCAAGCACCAAGUCAUCAGUGACUGUGGCUCUGUGGAAGUAUUCCUUCAACAAGCAAUGCCCUGGCCACUUCUGGAAGCUAAAUGCCCAUCUGGGAACCAUUUGCUUUUCCAUAUGAAGACAUCUCAAGCAGUCAGAGGAGAGAGGCAACCUGGGUAACCACCAAUACCAAGCCCCACAAGGUCAGUCAUAGGUAGUUAAUCAUUAUUUGGGGAUACGAGAAACUGAUUGCUCUAGGCUAGCAUAGGAAUGCAGUGGGAGCUGGCCACCAAUCCCUGGGCAUUCGCUGUGUGAGCGAAAGCCCUACCACAUUUCAAUGUGACUCAAGACCUCCUUAGAAAAACAGCUAGGGGAUCAGAGUGGAUACAUGAUGGGUCAAAGGUCUUCAUUUCCGCAGAGAAUAGGAUAAAACUGAGAGGAAACUGACAUUCCCUGUUGCUCUUCUGCCCACAGUUGAUGAUGCUUCUUCCCAAUUCUCUGGCUUUACCUAUACACCAACAUUUUGUCUGGCACCUUCAAGUGCCCUAUGUCUUUUUCUUGUGAAAACAUUUCUAAAAGGCAAGUCCCAAGGGGCUUUUUGCCCAACCUAUGCCAGAGUCAGGAUGACUUGGCAGGUCUCCCCAAAUAAAAUGAGGGGACAUUACUCUUAGGUCUGGCCUUGAAUUCCCCAUAGUGGGGACUUCAAAAAAGCAAGGGGAUGGGAGUGGGUACCCAGAAAGCCAAAGAUCUUCAUUUCACAUGAGAAUAGGAUAAUUUUGGGAAGAAAGAGAAUAGCACAGUCUCCUACCAAGCUCGCUGUUUUCUGAAGGAACAAACACAUGUGGGCUGGGUAAAUGGGAAUCAUCCAUCUGCUUCAUGAGGGAGCAGAAGGAAAGCUGAGGGCCAAACACAAGCUAGCAUUACCUGACCACCCCCACAUAGGAUAUGUGUGACAUUCCUCAGGCACUCCUGGCUGCCCAAGGGCAAAGAAAAUGACAGAAAACAAAUGGAGACUCCAUCAAUGGACAAGUAUCUUAGUAAGUCACAAGAAAAAGGCAGA